ensembl:lncRNA JUN-DT JUN divergent transcript
AGUACUCGGAGCCCGGGGUAGAACCUGGACUUCAAAUCUCUGCACUCCCGGCCGGGUGGUGGGCGCAUAUCCUGGGUAGCCUCUAGGAAGCGCUAGACACAUUUAAUUCUCACAGAAACUCUUGGAGGUAGCUGCAAGAGCUGCUAGGGACCUCGAUUAGAGUUAUUACAUAUGGACCCUCAUGAAUCAGAGGAAGAACGAGGCCUGGAGUCAUGAAGGGGCUUAACUGAAGUCACAAGGCUCACGGCAGGACCAGUAUCAAAAUAGACCCCAAUGUGCGGCAGGCUCAUCAGUGGAAGUGACUUACCCUGUCUCAGAUGAGGCUUUGUACUGUGGACUUUCGAGACUGCCCCUGUUUCAGCCUCCAGGAGAGUCUGUGACAAGGAGUGGGCUCCCUCUGCAAGGUGCUUGGAUUCCUCUGAAGAAAGAAAGCAAGGAAACAUGAAGUAUGGUGAUGGUGGCAUUUUCAAGGGCGGGUGAUGAAUGGAAACUUCCUGACAUUUCAAGCGACAACAUCUGAAAGGAAAUGGAAUUUUCCUGAAGCACAGGCAGGAGGUCCCCGUCACAAGCUAUUGAUUUGGCUGGAAAUGGAAUAAGACAGUAACCCAGCCUCAACCAGAGAUGAAGCCAACACUGUAGGAAUGGUGCAAAAACAAGUUGGAAGUCACAUGGGGUGCCCUGUGGAGCAGAGCCACCCCACUCACCUGACUACAUUCCUCUGGACUAUUAGAUGGGAAAACUGGAGCCCAAAGGAUGGAAAUACUGAACCCAUGGGCUCUGUCACUAGACUGCAUCCCAGGGCCUCAACAUAAUAUAUUCUUAGUGAAAAAGCAGAAUGAUGGCCAGGCGAGUUCUCUGGCUAGGAAGAAGCCCAGCUGGUAUACACCAUUUUUCUGCACUUCCCCUGGGCAGCCAGAUGACUAGGAUUCAAGGACCAGCCUACCACUUUCUAAGCUGUUUGCCUUGGACAAAUGACUUAUUGCCUCUGAACUUCACUUUACUCACCUGUAAAAUGAGGAGACUCCAGAAGAAUGAGAAGAUUCCAUGAGAUGACUCUAGCAGAUCCAUUUCAGAAAAUACUCUGCGUGUGAAGUUAUUACAAGGAACUUGGCAGGCACACUCCCCUUCACCUAUGGGGCUUUUCUUUUUUCUUCCAUGAGAGCUUCUACCCAGAUAUGCAGAUAGAAGAAAUGUAUUGGUCCCAAAGACAACAAUGUCUGUGAAGCAGGAUUCAAAGAGAUGAAGGGAGGGGAGAACAAGCCUUUCAAAUUAUAGCAAGUGGGUGGUCUUCAACUGCUUUUACUUCUUUUUAAAAUUCCAGAUCAUACUGGGGUAACCUAUUAGAAAGAACCCUGUCCUGGAAUCCUGGAAAAGAGGCCCUGCUAGGAGCUGACCUUGGACAAAUCACUCCCUUCUCUGAACCUCACUGUUCAGGGGGCUGAGAACAGAGGGUCCCUAAGGAAGAGUGUUGUAUGAGAACAGUCUCCGCUCUUGACCCAAGCAAACCUGGCUUCAAAUCUCAACUCCUGUGGCUGACUAGCUGUAUGACCUUGACCUUUCUCAGUUUCCUCAUCUAUAAAGCAGGAUUAAUAAAAGGUACCUAUCUAAUAUGACUGUUCUGAGAAUAAAAUGAAAUAAACUACAUAGGUGAUUU